rnacentral:rRNA from 1 species
UAGAUACCCUGGUAGUCCACGCCGUAAACGUUGGGCGCUAGGUGUGGGGAACUUUCCACGUUCUCCGUGCCGCAGCUAACGCAUUAAGCGCCCCGCCUGGGGAGUACGGCCGCAAGGCUAAAACUCAAAGGAAUUGACGGGGGCCCGCACAAGCGGCGGAGCAUGUGGCUUAAUUCGACGCAACGCGAAGAACCUUACCAAGCUUGACAUAUGGCGAAAACUGGCAGAGAUGUCAGGUCCGCAAGGGCGC